rnacentral:rRNA from 1 species
ACGCUAUCACUCCUACGGGAGGCAGCAGUGAGGAAUAUUGGACAAUGGAGGCAACUCUGAUCCAGCCAUGCCGCGUGCAGGAAGACUGCCCUAUGGGUUGUAAACUGCUUUUAUACAGGAAGAAACCACUCUACGUGUAGAGUUCUGACGGUACUGUAAGAAUAAGGAUCGGCUAACUCCGUGCCAGCAGCCGCGGUAAUACGGAGGAUCCAAGCGUUAUCCGGAAUCAUUGGGUUUAAAGGGUCCGUAGGUGGAUGAUUAAGUCAGAGGUGAAAUCCUGCAGCUCAACUGUAGAAUUGCCUUUGAUACUGGUUGUCUUGAAUUAUUGUGAAGUAGUUAGAAUAUGUGGUGUAGCGGUGAAAUGCAUAGAUAUCACAUAGAAUACCAAUUGCGAAGGCAGAUUACUAACAAUACAUUGACACUGAUGGACAGAAAGCGUGGGGAGCGAACAGGAUUAGAUACCCUGGUAG